GAUGAAUGCUGGCGGCGUGCCUAACACAUGCAAGUCGAGCGGCAGCGCGAGGAGUUUACUCCUUGGCGGCGAGCGGCGGACGGCUGAGUAACGCGUGGGAACGUGCCCCAAAGUGAGGAAUAACUGCCCGAAAGGGUGGCUAAUACCGCAUAUGAUCUUCGGAUUAAAGUCUUCGGACGCUUUGGGAGCGGCCCGCGUCGGAUUAGGUUGUUGGUGAGGUAAUGGCUCACCAAGCCGACGAUCCGUAGCUGGUCUGAGAGGAUGAUCAGCCAGACUGGGACUGAGACACGGCCCAGACUCCUACGGGAGGCAGCAGUGAGGAAUCUUCCACAAUGGGCGAAAGCCUGAUGGAGCAACGCCGCGUGAAGGAUGAAGGCCCUCGGGUUGUAAACUUCUUUUAUAAGUGAAGAAUAUGACGGUAACUUAUGAAUAAGCACCGGCUAACUACGUGCCAGCAGCCGCCGUAA
rnacentral:rRNA from 1 species